GUGAUCUGCCUUGCACUCUGGGAUAAGCUUGGGAAACUGGGUCUAAUACCGGAUAGGAACCGUCUUUAGUGUGGUGGUUGGAAAGUUUUUCGGUGCAAGAUGAGCUCGCGGCCUAUCAGCUUGUUGGUGGGGUAAUGGCCUACCAAGGCGUCGACGGGUAGCCGGCCUGAGAGGGUGUACGGCCACAUUGGGACUGAGAUACGGCCCAG
rnacentral:rRNA from 1 species